ensembl:lncRNA LINC00595 long intergenic non-protein coding RNA 595
GGAAAGCUACAGAGCAGUAGCCAUAGAAAGACUGCGUGAGACAGAGUCCUAGCCUAUCUGUCCGGCCAGUCGAACCUCAUGUGUUCGCUGCUUUCAUUUUCCCUUGGCUGAGGAAACGAUGGUUUGGUUUUGCAAAGGAAUGCUGGGGACUUCUGCCAGCUUGCUAACGGCCUUGCCCCAUUCAGAUGCAUCGAACUCACAGAACAUCGCUCCCCAGCUGCUGGCUCGCGGUUCUGAGAGUGCCUGAAUAGAAAACCACUCAUUUCCCUUCGCAAAAGAGGCGCCCAAAGCAGAUAUUUCAAUAUAUUCCAAUUUAGCCGAGGGAAGCCAGAACAUGGAUGUUGUUGCCAAGGAAACCACCUCCUUCCUCCUGUGUGCUGUGCAUACGUGUAUCACUUCAUCUCUCUGCUCUCCAAGCUUGAAUCUAGAUCUGACGUGGAUAUCCUGCCACAGUUCCGAAGUCUACCUAGUGCCCCAGCCGAACCUGCCCUGGCUCCUAGGUGGGGUAUGGACAUCUGUGACAUCCCUCCCCAACACCCCACCAAGCUGGGCUGCAAGACGGGUUAUGGUGGCCCCAUGACUUCCUUCCUUGGUUCCUUGAAUUUCUACGUGAAUUUUAGGAUCAGCUUGUCCAUUUCUGCAAAGAAGCCAGCUGAGCUUUUGAUUGGAAUUGCAUUGAAUCUGUAGAUCAAUUUGGAGAGCAUUUGCAUCUUAACAGUAUUAAGUCUUCUCAUCCAUGAACAUAUUAUAUUUUUCCAUGUAUUUAGAUCUUUAAUUGCCUUCAACAAUGUUUUGUAGUUUUUAGAAUAUAAAUCUUGCACUUCUUUUGUUAAAUGUAUUCCAAAGUAUUUCUUUUGACACUAUUGUAAGUGAAAUUGUUUUCUUAGUUUCAUUUUCAGAUUGUUCACUAUAUGAUAUCACUUUUGUGGCAUAGCAUGUGAUUGCUCAUGAAUGGUGCUGAUACACUGAUUUUUAAUGACUUGUUUAGAUAGACAAAAACUUCAAAAUAAGAUCUGCCUUAUGCACA